rnacentral:sRNA from 1 species
UGUUCACUUGUCUUUGUUUUUUGACUUACGUACAUCUGAUAUGAAUAAUUCUUAUGAUUCUGUAGUUCUAGGUGGGACUUUAAAAGUUCUUCACUCUCCUCUGGCGGAAAAGAGUGCUCUUGGCUGCUGAGACCCCUGGGACUGGGAUGUGCAAAGGUGCAAAGGCAGGUUGACCCCAGUGCCUGUUUGUCAGCUAGGGACGUCACCUCAGAGAGGGCUAGUGCUUCAUGAGCUCUGCCAGCCAUCAAGUGUCUGUCAGAUCAAGCUGUCUUCUCAGCGCUGGUGGCUUCUGCUCAGUCCCAAUGGAGUCUGUAGGAGCCAUAGAGCCUGAGGCAAAGUUUUAAUUUCUCUCACUGACUAUGCCGGUGGCAUUCCCAAAGGUGUCAAGGUAGAAUUAGAUUUGCUGAAGCAGGUGGCACACGCAGCAGGUGCUCUUGGGAAUGUUUGCGGGGCUCUUCGUAGGAGACACAGGGAAAGGGUCAAGUAAGUGUCCCUAGAGAGCCUGUUGAAGGGACAGGAUGACACUGAAGACUGCACCCAGAGCUGGGUAAAUCACAGAGUAGGUGUAUGCAGGAGAGCAAUUUGUGUGGAGUGGUCUGUGUAGAAGGCAACAGAGAUAGAUGAACAGGUAGGGGCAUGAUAGCUUCAGAACUGCCUCUCUGGCUCUCAGUAAAAGAAGUGACAACUGUCUGUCUCCAUAUUCCAAGGAGGAAGUGGUGAGAGGCUCAGGCUAUAUUUAAAGAACUUUGUGCCCAGGAGACAUUCUGUGGAGGCAGAGUCCUCCUGGAACACUAGAGCGUGGGCUGCUGUCUAUAUUUUUACAAUCAGGAUGGGGUCAGGUUAAGUGCAGCGGGGGCUGGGCAGGCAGCCCUGUCUGGCUUCUUCCACCCUAGGCAAUGCCAGCCACAAUCAGACUCUUCUGCUUCUUCCCCUGACACUCUCUGGGAAAGAUAUGCCUGAACGUUGCAAGGCUGGGAAUACACUGAACAUAUUCUGCAGCUUCUGGAAAAUUCCUGCUGCUAGUGAUUUGCAAAUUUCUCCCAAGAUGAAAAUUCAGAGCAGAGUAAGAGGCGUUGAACUAACGCUGAAGUGACUGUGUGAUGCCAUGGUGUUUGGGAACUGAUUCCUUCAUAGAGGUGGAACCCAGGAAGGGUAGCACCCGCAGAGGUUAGAAGAGAGCAGCAGCUAUCCUGGAGUUGGAUUUAACAGAUGAUGGUGAGCCACCGUGUAGGUUUUGGGAAUCAAAACUGCUUCCUCUGUCAGCACUCUUAACCAAUGGGCCAU